GUGGGAUUAGUGAUUGGGGUGAAGUCGUAACAAGGUAGCCGUAGGAGAACCUGCGGCUGGAUCACCUCCUUUCUAAGGAG
rnacentral:rRNA from 1 species